AUGGAUGGGGAUGCGUCUGAUUAGCUUGUUGGCGGGGUAACGGCCACCAAGGCUACGAUCAGUAGGGGUUCUGAGAGGAAGGUCCCCACAUUGGAACUGAGACACGGUCCAAACUCCUACGGGAGGCAGCAGUGAGGAAUAUUGGUCAAUGGGCGAGAGCCUGAACCAGCCAAGUAGCGUGCAGGAUGACGGCCCUAUGGGUUGUAAACUGCUUUUAUGCGGGGAUAAAGUGUGCGACGUGUCGUGCAUUGCAGGUACCGCAUGAAUAAGGACCGGCUAAUUCCCGUGCCAGCAGCCGCGGUAAAU
rnacentral:rRNA from 1 species